UACGUAGGGGGCAAGCGUUGUCCGGAAUCAUUGGGCGUAAAGCGCGUGUAGGCGGUCCGGUAAGUCCGCUGUGAAAGUCGGGGGCUCAACCCUCGGAUGCCGGUGGAUACUGUCGGGCUUGAGUACGGAAGAGGCGAGUGGAAUUCCUGGUGUAGCGGUGGAAUGCGCAGAUAUCAGGAGGAACACCAAUAGCGAAGGCAGCUCGCUGGGACGUUACUGACACUGAGGCGCGAAAGCGUGGGGAGCGAACAGG
rnacentral:rRNA from 1 species